UCUGAACUAGCAAAGCAAAAAUACGUCUGCUUCGGUUUACGUAUGUGAGACCCGUUCCUAUGUGUUUAUAAAUAGCAAUUUCGAAGGUAGACUUUCAGUUUGCUGAUGAUAAGAAAUAAAAUACAUAUGGAUAAUAAUUGAAUUUCUGUCAUUUAGUCCCUGUAAUUUUUACAAUCUGUAGGGGUCAUGCAAAUGCAAAACCAAGUUUCCAUUGUCAUAGAUGAAUAACAAUAGUUCAGUGGGUGAAAUGAACGUAGAGAGAAGUUCAAACCCCAUCAACACCUCCUUUCUCUGCAAAUCUCACAAUUGUAAAAUUCCAUCAUAAAACGGGCGAAUCCAAAAGAAGCCCCGAAUUGACGUCAACUUACGGGAUGUUGUUAGGGGUUAAAUCUGCUUUUGAUAUCCCCUCUAAUCAAAUUCAGACUUACCAAUAUUGUAUUGUGACAGACUUUGUGAUAUUUCAAAGCAUCUUUUUUGCUCCUCAAGCAAAUCAAUAUAAUGUUGUAUCAUGAUAGGUUGGUGAUUUACAUCCCUAUGACUGAUGAAAAGCUUUAGCACAUCAUCAUCAUUCAGCCACCAGCAUGUUACGUCCUGGAAAAUGAUGUGUUCUGGGACAUGUAUGGUUUGUUCUACGGAGCCAAAUAGGGGCCAAGUAGUUUGAUCAAAAACAUUUUUUGAAAGUGAAAAAAUAACAUUGAAACAGGGAAAAAAAAAAAAGACUGACAGAAAAAAGGUUAUUUCACAUAAACUAACCAUUUGAAAACUGGAGGGAAAAAAAGCCUUGAAAUUUAAGUGUUUAUGAAAUUACAAAAAAAAGUCUGAAAAGAAAUGUUUAAAUGUAUUUUCAGAUCAGAAGUUUUCAUUUUUUAGAUUAUGGUUCUGUUUGAGUUGCUGCUGUUGCAGCCUGGUGGUUCUUCUGCUUUGAAUUGAGAACAUGGGACCCAGACUAAAAGAGCUGCAUAAGUUGGCCGGAAGUUAUCCCUGAUUUUAGACUAGGCGAGGUGGUGUUUUUUAAUAUGAUUGAGAGCGUGCAUGCAAUACAAUAAUUCAUGCAUCAUAUGUGGAUUAGAACUACUUCAAUUGUGCAGGGACAACAAGAGAGAGCAGGUGUGGGGAGGAGGUUGCUUGUGAAACCUGUGCAAAGUGAUGCUCUGUUCAACAAGUGUUCCAGGCAACUGGUUGUAAAAAAGCGCUGAUUGGUUUAGUCAGAAUAAAAAGCCAAUAAUUGUUGGUUUAAUCGCUGACAGUCACCUAGUUACCACUCAAAGCUUUGCAUCCUGUGAAAGUAAUUUCUCCCUGAAAUGAGUUUUUGGAACUUCGGAUGUCUGAGAUAGUAAUAAAUUAACCCUUUUUCAUUUAUUGGGAAGUAAUUAUAAACACAGUCAGAUAAACGCAAACAAAACAAACAUUUUGCCAAAAAAAAUAAAAUAACACUUUCAGAGUCUGCAGUGCGUCAUACAUGGCUAUGCCAAGAGAGGGCGAGAGAGUUUAAUCCUUAUUUUUUUUUAAGUUGAAUUAUUUUCAAUUUCAAUCUACUCUCUUUGUUUUAAAUCUUUUUACUUUUAAAUCCUUUCUCAUGUUUUUAUUUUAUUUAUUUUCAAAAUAAGUUGUUUUUAACAGAAUAAUGACCCCUACUUAGCUCCAUAGUUUUCUGCCACACAUAACACAUUUACUUUUCAUUUAUCUGUCACAUUAAGUGAAGAAAAUACAUUCAAGUUUGUGGCAAUUUUAUAAAAUGU